rnacentral:rRNA from 1 species
UGCGUAGGCGGCUUUUUAAGUCGGAUGUGAAAUCCCUGAUCUUAACUUAGGAAUUGCAUUCGAUACUGGAAAGCUAGAGUAUGGGAGAGGAUGGUAGAAUUCCAGGUGUAGCGGUGAAAUGCGUAGAGAUCUGGAGGAAUACCGAUGGCGAAGGCAGCCAUCUGGCCUAACACUGACGCUGAGGUGCGAAAGCAUGGGGAGCAAACAGGAUUAGAUACCCCAGUA